AUUGAACGCUGGCGGCAGGUCUAACACAUGCAAGUCGAGCGGAUGAAGGGAGCUUGCUCCUGGAUUCAGCGGCGGACGGGUGAGUAAUGCCUAGGAAUCUGCCUGGUAGUGGGGGAUAACGUCCGGAAACGGGCGCUAAUACCGCGUACGUCCUGAGGGAGAAAGUGGGGGAUCUUCGGACCUCACGCUAUCAGAUGAGCCUAGGUCGGAUUAGCUAGUUGGUGGGGUAAAGGCCUACCAAGGCGACGAUCCGUAACUGGUCUGAGAGGAUGAUCAGUCACACUGGAACUGAGACACGGUCCAGACUCCUACGGGAGGCAGCAGUGGGGAAUAUUGGACAAUGGGCGAAAGCCUGAUCCAGCCAUGCCGCGUGUGUGAAGAAGGUCUUCGGAUUGUAAAGCACUUUAAGUUGGGAGGAAGGGCAGUAAGUUAAUACCUUGCUGUUUUGACGUUACCAACAGAAUAAGCACCGGCUAACUUCGUG
rnacentral:rRNA from 1 species